rfam:Dipodomys ordii contig_61513, whole genome shotgun sequence.
CCAAAGGCUCUUUUCAGAGCCAUUCCAUUUUCCUGAAAGAACUGCC